UUUUCAUCUCUUUUUAUUGUUGUUUAUUUUUUAGCCAUCUUUAUAAUAGGGAGAUCCUGAUCAGUUGUGGAUAUCAUUUCUAAGAGUUAUUUCCUGGGGAAAGCAGAGUGGGUUGCUGAUUCAUUCACCUUGGCUUCCAGGUGGCCAUAUCUUUAUUGCUUUAACAUGGAAGGAAAUCUCUGAUGCCUAUUUAU
rnacentral:lncRNA from 1 species